rnacentral:misc_RNA from 1 species
GAUGAAGAACGCAGCGAAAUGCGAUAAGUAGUGUGAAUUGCAGAAUUCAGUGAAUCAUCGAAUCUUUGAACGCACAUUGCGCCCUUUGGUAUUCCUUAGGGCAUGCCUGUUCGAGCGUCAUUUAAACCUUCAAGCUCAGCUUGGUGUUGGGUGACUGUCCGCUUCACCGCGGACUCGCCUCAAAAUUAUUGGCGGCCGGUACAUUGGCUCUCGAGCGCAGCAGAAACGCGUAACUCGAGGUCCUCGUGCUGGCUCCCAGAAGCUAUCUUCACACUUUUGACCUCGGAUCAGGUAGGGAUACCCGCUGAACUUAAGCAUAUCAAUAAGCGGAGGA